rnacentral:rRNA from 1 species
UGGGGAAUAUUGCACAAUGGGCGAAAGCCUGAUGCAGCGACGCCGUGUGAGGGAUGACGGCCUUCGGGUUGUAAACCUCUUUCAGCAGGGACGAAGCGCAAGUGACGGUACCUGCAGAAGAAGCACCGGCUAACUACGUGCCAGCAGCCGCGGUAAUACGUAGGGUGCAAGCGUUGUCCGGAAUUACUGGGCGUAAAGAGUUCGUAGGCGGUUUGUCGCGUCGUUUGUGAAAACCAGCAGCUCAACUGCUGGCUUGCAGGCGAUACGGGCAGACUUGAGUACUGCAGGGGAGACUGGAAUUCCUGGUGUAGCGGUGAAAUGCGCAGAUAUCAGGAGGAACACCGGUGGCGAAGGCGGGUCUCUGGGCAGUAACUGACGCUGAGGAACGAAAGCGUGGGUAGCGAACAGG